UGGGGAAUUGUUCACAAUGGGCGCAAGCCUGAUGACGCAACGCCGCGUGGGGGAUGAAGGUCUUCGGAUUGUAAACCCCUGUCGAAUGGGACGAAAGACUCGCGAUCUAACAUGUCGCGGGAUUGACGGUACCGUUAAAGGAAGCCACGGCUAACUCUGUGCCAGCAGCCGCGGUAAUACAGAGGUGGCAAGCGUUGUUCGGAAUUACUGGGCGUAAAGGGCGCGUAGGCGGCCAUCUAAGUCAGACGUGAAAUCCCCCGGCUUAACCUGGGAACUGCGUCUGAUACUGGACGGCUCGAGUAUGGGAGAGGGAUGUAGAAUUCCAGGUGUAGCGGUGAAAUGCGUAGAUAUCUGGAGGAAUACCGGUGGCGAAGGCGGCAUCCUGGACCAUUUACUGACGCUGAGGCGCGAAAGCUAGGGGAGCAAACGGGAUUAGAUACCCCGGUAGUCCUAGCCCUAAACGAUGAAUGCUUGGUGUGGCGGGUAUCGAUCCCUGCCGU
rnacentral:rRNA from 1 species